GUUUAAACUGCAGAGAUGGUUGGCAGCUGGAAGCAACAGAAGGCAGAAAGUUCGACCUAUGCGGCAGCAGUCAGGACUUACUGACGAGUUUGAUGAGCUAGAGCUUGAUGGUGUUGCCGUGGGCCUCCUUACUGUCAUCAGUGACCAUGAUACAAGCAGUGUUGGGAAGAUUACUUUGGAAAUGUAGUUGGUUACAAUUACAAGUUACCCUGUUGAAAAUGUAAUAGUAGUGUAACUAUUUCAAUUACUUUCUCAAAGUAAUGUAACUAAUUACAUUUGAUUACAUUAUGAUUACUUUUCUUUAUUUUGAAUGAAAUCUCUCAACUGCUAACCAUUUUCACAUUUUAAGACCUAUAGUGUGAUAAACCUUUCAGUUCAAAGGUUUAACCAUAUGAGUCUGACCUUAGGCCUGUACUGCGAAGGAGGCUCACUUCCUCACUAAAUAGAGCGACAACGGGCUGAUUUCAGACAAGAGGAGCAGGUUGUUUUAAUGGAGAGAGUAUGAGCAAUACAAAAAAGCCUGAUCACAGCCUGAAGCAACAGGUUUGCUGCAAAUAUGACAAGAGGAGGCUGAUUUUAAUUUCUGACAGCUCUACAUUGAGCUGCUUUUAAAUAUGAAGCUUUAGAGGAACAACAACUGUUGUUUUAAACUGUGUUAAAUAUUGUUUUCAUAUAUUUCACUGAUCGCAAUUAUAAAAUGCCAGUGUGUGUUUUAUUGAAAGCGAGGCAUGUAAUUCGUUACUCCCGAACACUGGAUACAAGUCCAGUUCACUACCACCCUGUGAGAAUCUGUCAUCACUGAAAGGAAUUAGCCAGGUCGCCAAAAGCACUUUUAUAGCUGAUAAUGAAAGCUAAUUUCAUUUGUGUAUUAUUUGUUAUUAUUUAUUAUUGUUUUUGAUUACUCCAAUUAUUUUCCUGACUAUCUGAUUAGUUGUUUGGUCAAUAUCAGAAAUUUGUGAAAAAUAUCUAUUUCCUAGGGCCUUAAGUGACCAGGAACACAUUUGGAAGGCUAGAAUCAGAGAAUUUUGAGUAAUAUGAGAGAGAUAUUAAGUUUGUUAAACUCAGUGUAAUUGAGGCAAUCAAUUGCCUCAAAAAUGUUAAGUUUUUAAUCACAUGUUUUUUAAGUAAACAAACUCAACAUAUGUGACUAAUGUGUACUUAAAACAAUGAUAGCACAAACUAAUAAACAUUGAGUUUGCUUAACAUAAAAUGGUGUGGUUGUGUACUUAUUUUUUAAAGUUCUGUGAAGUUAUUCCAGUGGUUUUGAAAACUGGAAACUAAGUCAUAUUAACUGAAAAUAAUUGAGUUGCCUUAACAGAAAACUUUAAGUCAUAUUAACCACAAAUUUUUGAGUUGAGCUAAAUGAGCACUUUAACGGUUAUCAAAAGGUACAAGUAGCAAGUCAUCCAACCUUUUAAGUUCUGGAAAAUGUUGACUUUUGAGUUCAUCAACUCCAAAAAAUUGAGGCAAUCGAUUGCCUCAGACAUUUUAAGUUUGGAGUCACAUGUUUUUAAGUAAACAAACUCAA
rnacentral:lncRNA from 1 species